rnacentral:rRNA from 1 species
GAUCUGGCUCAGGAUGAACGCUGGCGGCGUGCCUAAUACAUGCAAGUCGAGCGAAGCAUUUUAAAGGAAGUUUUCGGAUGGAAUUUGGAAUGACUGAGCGGCGGACGGGUGAGUAACGCGUGGGUAACCUGCCUCAUACAGGGGGAUAACAGUUAGAAAUGACUGCUAAUACCGCAUAAGCACACAGUACCGCAUGGUACAGUGUGAAAAACUCCGGUGGUAUGAGAUGGACCCGCGU